AAUAGAUCGAAUUCGUCUAAGGUGAAAAUAUCCAGAUUUACAGAUAGAUGAAAUGUGGUUUUGAAAGGUAAACUGAUUGUCAAACAGUACACCCAAAUUUCGUGCUGUAGUUGACGACGGUUACGAUUGUCAGAUUUUAUUCCAUUAGAGGAAAUAAGAUAUUUGAAUCUCCAAGAUUUAUGACUGUUAACCAAGCCACCUCUCAACUUGUUGAAAUUAUACAAAAACGAAGAGAUGCCGAGAAAGACUUAGCUUUUACAGAAGACUCGAUAUGUGUUGGUGUAGCCAG